UACGGAGGAUGCGAGCGUUAUCCGGAUUCAUUGGGUUUAAAGGGUACGUAGGUGGCCCGGUAAGUCAGUGGUGAAAACCUGCCGCUUAACGGUAGGCGUGCCAUUGAUACUGUCGGGCUUGAGUGCAGUUGAGGCAGGCGGAAUGUGUAGUGUAGCGGUGAAAUGCAUAGAUAUUACACAGAACUCCGAUUGCGAAGGCAGCUUGCUAAAGUGCAACUGACGCUGAUGUACGAAAGCGUGGGUAGCGAACAGGAUUAGAUACCCUGGUAGUCCACGCCGUAAACGAUGCUCACUGGCUGUAUGCGAUACACUGUAUGCGGCCAAGCGAAAGCGCUAAGUGAGCCACCUGGGGAGUACGCCGGCAACGGUGAA
rnacentral:rRNA from 1 species